rnacentral:misc_RNA from 1 species
GUGAAUCAUCGAAUUUUUGAACGCAAAUUGUACUCUUUUCGGAGAGUAUGCGUGUUUGAGGGUCAGCCUAUAAAAAAUCGACAUCGUUGCUGUUUCGUGGUGGCGUUGGUCGGAAAUUGGGUCAUCUUAAAUACUUUUGAUUUAAGCGACUUAAAAUUUUCUUUUGGUUCCAUGAACGUUUCUAAGAUCUAUUUCUUUACACGUUUAAGGUAUCGAUUUUGACUAGAUGGGAAUAUCAUAUCGGAUCGCGUACAUAAUUUUU